GCUAUACCACCCUCACCCUGCUGAUUAUUGGCUUGAAAGUAACUAAAGGGCUGCCAUUGGGACUUCUCUUGUGUGGGGUGAGCUCAGAAGCUUCCAGCACAGCAGUGCGAGCUUUCCAUUCAUGAGGGAUCUGACCCUAGCAACUAUGCAAGGGGGUCAGGACACUGCCACUGGUUACUGGUGUUCACCACCCAUCUCAGUCCCCAGGUCCAAAGCAAGACAGAAGGGACAGUAGAAACUCAUGUCGUCCCAGCCCUGCCACUGACUGGCUCUAAGGAACAACGACUGGAAUUUUGACUGUUUCAGAGUGUGAACUCCCUUCUGUCACCUGGGAAUUCUGGGAGUCUUGGUAGGGACCCUAAAAGAUUCCUGGCUUUUGGAGAGGAGCGGAAAAGCAUAGCAGAAUGUUGUGGAAGAGCUGGAUCUGGGCCCGGCUUUCACCCCUACUGGCCGGGUGGCCUCCCUCUCAGGGCCCUGCCUGCCUGGGAGAGCUGUGGUGAGGUACGAGGCAGAUGAUGCCACUAGAGUUGAUUGCCAUUAGAAGCUCCUCAAAUGACUGUCAACCAGUGGCUGUCACGUGGUGCGGUGCAGAACGAUGCAUAAAGCCAGUGGAAGGUGGUCCUGCCUGACAAGCUUCCGGCCCACCAGAUAAAUAUAGAGACCACGUGCCUCGUGUCUCCUCCUGACCCUUGUACUUUGUCGUUGGUGCUGCUGAGUCAGUCUGACUCCUCGUGACCCUGUGCACAGCAGAGUGGAAUCCUGCCCGGUCUUUUUGC
rnacentral:lncRNA from 1 species